CCUCUUCUCUUCCAAAAUCCCCCUCUGCAAACCCUAAAUUGAUGACCGCAUUUUGUAUCUCUAUUCGUUCGUUUCUCUUUCUAGAGCUUUCUGAUGACCGCAUUUUGCACAAAUUUUAAUCUAGUAACUCUUGGAAUUCGGAGCUGUUGAGUUCUUCGUUUGGCUUGUCCUCGUCGGUUCGGGGGGCACAAUCAACCUCAGGUCCGAAACAAUGGCUAACAGAUAGCCUGCAACGUCAAUUUUUGACCGUCUUCGUAGAAGUGAAUUACAAAGCACGCGAUCGUUUUCUUGUAGGUCGUGAUCGAGCGUGAUUCUGAUGCACUCGAGGAACAUAAAUUUGAAGAUAGAGGUUGAAGGUUAGGGAAAGAGAGGAAGUGCUGAGAUACUGUUGCAAAAUGAUAUUUCAAAUAAGUUGGAGGUUUGUAAAGAUGUUCUGAAGACAAGGGAUGGAAUAAAUCGAUUAGCGCUUUACCACUCUUCAGUUGGCAGGUUUCCAAAUGCACCUGGUGCAUUGCUUUACCCUAUUUAUGGCCAAGAGGAACUGCCUCAGGCAUUUUGCCGUCAUGCUGCAGUCAAG